rnacentral:rRNA from 1 species
CAGGUCACUCCUACGGGAGGCAGCAGUGGGGAAUCUUGCGCAAUGGGCGCAAGCCUGAUCCAGCCAUGCCGCGUGCGGGAAGAAGGCCUUCGGGUUGUAAACCGCUUUUGUCAGGGAAGAAAUCUUCUGGGCUAAUACCCCGGGAGGAUGACGGUACCUGAAGAAUAAGCACCGGCUAACUACGUGCCAGCAGCCGCGGUAAUACGUAGGGUGCGAGCGUUGUUCGGAAUCACUGGGCUUAAAGCGUGUGUAGGCGGUGCUCCAAGUCUGUUGUGAAAUCUCCCGGCUUAACUGGGAGGGUGCGGCGGAAACUGGAGUGCUCGAGUAUGGGAGAGGUAAGCGGAAUUCCUGGUGUAGCGGUGAAAUGCGUAGAUAUCAGGAGGAACACCGGUGGUGUAGACGGCUUUCUGGACCGACACUGACGCUGAAACACGAAAGCGUGGGUAGCAAACAGGAUUAGAUACCCUGGUAGUCCACGCCCUAAACGAUGCAUAUUUGGUGUGGGCAGUUCAUUCUGUCCGUGCCGGAGCUAACGCGUUAAAUAUGCCGCCUGGGGAGUACAGUCGCAAGGCUGAAACUUAAAGGAAUUGACGGGACUC